rnacentral:rRNA from 1 species
CAGUAGCCGCGGUAAAACGGAGGGCGCGAGCGUUACCCGGAUUUACUAGGCGUAAAGGGCGUGUAGGCGGCCUGGGGCGUCCCAUGUGAAAGGCCACGGCUCAACCGUGGAGGAGCGUGGGAUACGCUCAGGCUAGAGGGUGGGAGAGGGUGGUGGAAUUCCCGGAGUAGCGGUGAAAUGCGCAGAUACCGGGAGGAACGCCGAUGGCGAAGGCAGCCACCUGGUCCACUUCUGACGCUGAGGCGCGAAAGCGUGGGGAGCAAACCGGAUUAGAUACCCGCGUAGUCCCUGUCUCUUAUAC